AGGAUCGUUUGUUCGGAUGGUUACGUUAUAGUCAUUUAUGAAUUCACGUUUUACAGCCAUAAAAUUUAUGUAUAAUCCAUGAAACCGGAUUUUCACCUUUUUGAACUCAAAAUAACUUAACAACACUUGCGACGAAUUUUAUUGUCAAUGUAGUUGAGCAGAAAAACUAUUCAUGUGCUCACUUUCCUCGGAAAUGGGAGAGUGAAAUAUGUUAGCCUGCAAGCUUUCGUUUCUUGUCUCCAUCAUGCUCUUAUUAGGUA
rnacentral:lncRNA from 1 species